UAGGGAAUCUUCCACAAUGGGCGAAAGCCUGAUGGAGCAACGCCGCGUGAGUGAGGAAGGCUUUCGGGUCGUAAAGCUCUGUUGCCAGGGAAGAAUAAGGAUAUGUUAACUGCAUAUUCGAUGACGGUACCUGAGAAGAAAGCCCCGGCUAACUACGUGCCAGCAGCCGCGGUAAUACGUAGGGGGCAAGCGUUGUCCGGAUUUAUUGGGCGUAAAGCGCGCGCAGGCGGUUCUUUAAGUCUGGUGUCUAAGUGCGGGGCUCAACCCCGUGAUGCACUGGAAACUGGGGAACUUGAGUGCAGAAGAGGAGAGCGGAAUUCCACGUGUAGCGGUGAAAUGCGUAGAGAUGUGGAGGAACACCAGUGGCGAAGGCGGCUCUCUGGACUGUAACUGACGCUGAGGCGCGAAAGCGUGGGGAGCAAACA
rnacentral:rRNA from 1 species